UACGGAGGGUGCAAGCGUUAUCCGGAUUCACUGGGUUUAAAGGGCGCGUAGGCGGGCAGCCAAGUCCGGGGUGGAAUCCUUCGGCUUAACCGGAGAAUUGCCUGGGAUACUGGCUGUCUUGAGGGAGGUAGGGGCACGCGGAACUUCCGGUGGAGCGGUGAAAUGCGUUGAUAUCGGAAGGAACGCCGGUGGCGAAGGCGGCGUGCUGGCCCUCUUCUGACGCUGAGGCGCGAAAGCCAGGGGAGCGAACGGG
rnacentral:rRNA from 1 species